AGCUUUAGGAAUGGAUCUAAGGUUAUACCUGCCCAAUGUGUAAUUCUAUUAAUGGCCGCGGUACCUUGACCGUGCUAAGGUAGCGCAAUCAGUUGGCUCUUAAUUGGGGUCAGGAAUGAAUGGAGUUACGGAGUUUUACUGUCUCUUAGUUAAUUAUUCUAAAUUACUAUUUAGGUGAAAAAGCCUAAUAAAAGAAAGGGGACGAGAAGACCCUUAGAGUUUGGCCUACAUAAAUUUUAGAAAUCUUGUUUAUAAUGGUUUAGUUGGGGCAACGUAGGAGCAAUAAAAAAUAAAAAUCUCCUAAAUUUUAUUAACCGAUAUUUUUAAAUUUGGAUAAACUACCUUAGGGAUAACAGCAUAAUUUAAUAAAUAAGUUUGUGACCUCGAUGUUGGACUAGGAAACUUAAAGGCUAGCCGUCUUUAAGGAAAGUUCUGUUCGAACUAUAAUUCCU
rnacentral:rRNA from 1 species